GGAGGGAGAGUCAACUUAGUGUCAGACCUGAAAAGGUGGAGUUGGAUCUGCUGAGCUGUAAGCUUACAAAUGUGUUCAAAAGAGAAAGAGGGAAAGGUAUGCUUAAUGUUUAAAUUGGUAAGCUGCAGUCCCAAUAUAGUGUUCGUACAUUAGGACUCUGGCUAAUCUGUUUCUGACAAGCUAGUCGGUUUCUUUUUCUUUUUUUUUUUAAUGAAAUAAUUCAUGGAUUUACAGGUUGUCCUUACCGAGAGGUUAUACUAAUUACCUCUGCCUUGCUCUAACUUUAUUGUUCUAUAAAGGGGUGUGUGUCUGUGUGUCUGUGUGUGUGUGUGUGUGUCUGUGUGUGUUGGCAAAACUCUCAUACACAUAAAAAUAAAAUAAUCUAAGAAGUAACCCACAAACCAACAGUUUUCAUCCUUUUUUUAAUCCACCACCUUAUUUUGUUUAUACUUUUAAUAGCUUUCCUUCUAACAACAUUGCUGACAAAUUUUCAUAUUGCAUAUAUCAUUAAUGAAAAUCAACUGAUAAGCUAUAAAAGUUAAGUCUAUUUCUUCCACUUUCAGAAAAGUCAAAUUUCAUUUUGUCUUGAGCAAGUAGUUUAACAAAAAUCUGUUUGCUUUUUUCCCUCCGAAGUUUUCACAUUUGAUGAAAAGGCACUAAGGACAUUCAUUUCAAGAAAGGUAAGCUAAUUUUAACUAAAUAACAGAUGGCUCAGAGACAUUUGAAUUUUAAAUGAGGAAGAGCGCUACAGCUGCACACAUGCACUGUGUAUCAAGCUUGUCAGAACCUCUUUGGUAGAGAGUUGUGAUGUUUGGAUCUGUAUGCAUAAGGUUAAAAAAUAAGCAUCGCAGGGAGGAGAAACUGUACAAAAACUUUAGCUAAGAAGAUAACCAAAACAAAAGAUCUUCAGAGGAAUAUCAUCACCUAUUCAAAAGAAAAUUGGCAACUAUUAUCAGGUUGUCACAUCUUCAACUUAAUGAUUCCCAGAUAGAGUUUUCCCAAGACAUGGAAAUUAUUUCAGGGGUUCUCCAGAGAAAGACUAUGCUUGUGAACCUCCUUGUGGGACUAAAGAUUGCAUGGUGUCACCCUACCUCGAGACCAAGUAUUGCAUAAGAUCUGUCACUGCAGGCCCUUGUUUGAUUUUGGAGAAAGGGUCUCAAGUACGUCACACUUACAGUGCGGCUAAGGAUGGCCUUAGACUCCUGAUCCUCCUGCCUCUAGUUUCCAAGUGCCGGAAUUAUAGGCAAAUACCACCACGCACAACUAUACCCUUCUAAAAAUAAAAUCAACCAUGUUCAUGAAUCCCAUAGCAAUGUACUGUUGAACAUCACUAAUCUGAAAAUACCUGCCCAAUGUUUCAAAGCCAGAGUGUUUCAGGCAUGAUAUACUGCAAGUGGAAGAUCCCCCACCCCCACGUGAUGGACUAUGUUUAAGACAGUUGCACAGAGCAGUUUCUUCAGCAUACCCUCUCUGCCCACCGUGAGGGAACUCAGCUCCUGAAGGUACAACACACAAACCUUGCUUCAAACCCAAGAUCACUAAGAACACAUAAAAUUACCUUCAGCCCAUGUUUAGAAGGUAUGUUUGAACCUUGUGUUCAGAUUUGAGUCUCAUCUCCAAGAUGGAUGAACAUGUAAAUAUUAAAUCAGCUACAGUUUGGAUCUGGAAUUACCUCCAAGGCUUGCAGAUGUGUCCUUGAAGGGAUAGACUGUGACUACUUCUUGUCUUUCACUUUCAUUACACAGCUUUCUCAAGGACAAUGGUCUCUUGCCACACUCUUGGCCAUGAUCUACUGUGACACCACAGGUCCAAAGCCAUGGGACAAAGAACCUGUGGACUGAAAUCUCAGAAGCCAUGAGCCAAAAACUUUUCUUCCUUUUCAACAAAUUAUCCUCAAGUAUCUUGUCCCAUGGAUGCAAAUCUGGUCAAUAUAACCCAAAGUCAAAACACUUCCAGGAUCAGCCAUUUUGGAAGCCAACUUUCUCUCUCUCUUUCUUUCUUUCUUUCUUUCUUUCUUUCUUUCAUGUAAGUACACCGUAGCUGUCCUCAGACACACCAGACGAGGGCGUCAGAUCUCAUUUCGGGUGGUUGUGAGCCACCAUGUGGUUGCUGGGAUUUGAACUCUGGACCUUCGGGGAAGAGCAGUCGGGUGCUCUUACCCACUGAGCCAUCUCACCAGCCCCAGUUUCUUCUUUAUCUUAAGAACAUUUAUAUACACAUGCCAUUUUUAGUAAAUUAUUUUUGGUAUAUGUCUAAUAAAUAUUUUGUAUGCCUUUAGGAAUAUAUGUUCCCACUCUGGAAGCUACAAUUUUAGUCAGAGAAUUCCACAGCUGACACUCUAGUCAAUCAACCUCAUGUAUUGGCAUUUAUAAGUGUCUCCAUCAAAUAGUAUCAAACUAUGAAUUCUUUUCAUGUGUCCAUGGUAACAGUUAUCAAAAUAUAUUCUGUUUCAUAAAACAAGUGUCAAUAAAGUAAGAUGAACUUAAAUUAUAUAAAGUAUUUCCUGUACCAAUGCCUGAUUAAAAAUUGCUGGAAAGACCCCAAACACUCAGGAACAAAACAAUAAGCCAAGAAGAAAUCAAAGUGGAGAUUGCAAAGUAUUUUUGAACUGAAGGAAAAUGAAAGCACAAUCAUUAAGAUGUUGGGGCAUGCUCUCAGCAGCACCUCAGGAUAAUUUAAUAACACAAACACCCAGGUUAGAGCAGAGCAAAAGCUCCAGAGCCAGUGGCAUAAAACAGAUUAAACUUACAGC
rnacentral:lncRNA from 1 species